rnacentral:rRNA from 1 species
AAACCAGCACCUCAAGUGGUCAGGAGGAUUAUUGGGCCUAAAGCAUCCGUAGCCUGUUCUAUAAGUUUCCGGUUAAAUCCAUUAGCUCAACUAAUGGGCUGCCGAAAAUACUGUAGAACUAGGGAGUGGGAGAGGUAGACGGUAUUCGGUAGGAAGGGGUAAAAUCCUUUGAUCUAUUGAGGACCACCUGUGGCGAAGGCGGUCUACCAGAACACGUUCGACGGUGAGGGAUGAAAGCUGGGGGAGCAAACCGGAUUAGAAACCCCGGUAGUCC